rnacentral:tRNA from 1 species
UAAAAACUAGUUAAUUUAUAACAUUAGAAUGUCAUUCUAAAAUUACAAUAAGUGUUUUU